rnacentral:snRNA from 1 species
AGGGGAGUACCUCUAUACAUUCAAAAAUUAGAAUACGGAGAUAAGUACGGCCCCUGUGCAAGGAUGACAUGCAAAAUCAUGAAGCAUUCCAUAUUUUU